CACCAGGUGUUGUACGGAAGUGUUGAAUCACUAUAUUGUACACCUGAAACUAAUAUUACACUCCAUGUUAAAUAACUGGAAUUAAAAUAAAAACUUAAAACAAUUAAUUUGCAGAAAUCUACCUCUGCAUGAUGAAGAUGCUUGAGAUGAGAGGUUAUUACUCAUUUUUUUCCAAAUCUUAAUCAAUUUUAGACUUGCUGAAUAUCACCCACAUGGAGAUGCACUGUGCAAGGCACUGAAUGCAGGUGAGCUACAGGCCCAGCUCUCCUCCCUCCAUUACUCUCCUCUCUUCUACCCCAACGCUGAAGUGGCCUCUUUACACCAGCAGCAUUCAGCUGAGCUUUCAGCCCAGACUUAGCCCCUGCCUCGAGAUUCAGAGAGACAGCUGCUUAUUGUCUCUCUGACCCUGGGUCAACCGCAGUGUGAAAGCAGAUCAUCAGAAGACCAAUAGCAGCCUCAAGCUACGUCACAGUAACUACGUCAUUCACCUCGCUUCACCUCCUCACUUACAGUCUCAUAUCACCACAGAAGAAGGUAAACAAUUGAACUGUGAGCUCUCGGUGAGCAUCUGGAGACGCUAAGAGCCACACCCUACUCUCCCCAGCUGUUUAUUGUUAUCAUUUGCUGGUCCGCUAAGCUCUUCGAUGACUUUAGAAGGCAAGUUAAGUACCGCCAGUUCACAGCUGAGUACCUUGGCUGGCAUGGAGCCGUGCUGGAUGCGAGCUUAUUUGGAAGUCUGGUGUUUGUUCACGGUUUUGUGAUGCUCUUACUUCUGCUUCAAAAACGGCAAUUAAUCAAGACAUCGGCCAAGUCCUCCAGGAUUGCUUUAUGACAUCUAGUUGCCAAGAACCACCUGUGCCCCUGCAACCAUUCACAAUAUUGCAGGAGAUGGGUUACGAUGAUGAUCCUUGCGGGGACUCUACGUGUAACCGUUGUGUCUUCCUUAACAUUCGUAUUCUGUGCCUGAUUCUUUUUGUGACAAACAGCCAUCCAUUAACUGGAUAUUAAAGGUGAAGUCUUUGGCAUUAAAGUAGCAAUGAUAAUAGCAGAUAGGUGCUGUUUAUUCAUUUUUCUUCUUUAAUCUUUAUAAUAUCUAUGACAUAUAGGUACAAUACCCUUGUUUUAUUAAUGAGAAAGUAAAGCACAAAAAGUGCAAAUACAACUGGGAGGAGUGCAAUAUUCUUGGCAGAAUUUUUUCCUUGCUAUUAUUUCCACCUUCAUGUCCCAUAGAAAGCAGUGCGUUCAUCAUCAUAGGAUGUGGUUUGAGAGAGAGAAAUUGCCAGUCUCUGGCUUUUGUGUACCCCCAAACUGAAGUUUAGUAUUGUUAGUGUUUGAGGACAAAAAUCAUGUUAGAAACUGUCCCUUUGAAGGAGAUAUACCAAAUUAGGGAAGAGGAGGAUACCUUACCCUCCAGACGAGAGAAAAAUCCUGCUGGGUUAGGUGUCUUCGUAUGUGUGGUGGAAUGAGAAAUAAAGAAAAAAAAAAAAAAAA